rnacentral:rRNA from 1 species
CCUACGGGUGGCAGCAGUGAGGAAUAUUGGUCAAUGGGCGAGAGCCUGAACCAGCCAAGUCGCGUGAGGGAGUACUGCCCUAUGGGUUGUAAACCUCUUUUGUCGGGGAGCAAAAGCCGGACGUGUCCGGCUGUGAGAGUACCCGAAGAAAAAGCAUCGGCUAACUCCGUGCCAGCAGCCGCGGUAAUACGGAGGAUGCGAGCGUUAUCCGGAUUUAUUGGGUUUAAAGGGUGCGCAGGCGGAUUUUUAAGUCAGCGGUAAAAUCGUGGGGCUCAACCCCAUCCAGCCGUUGAAACUGGGGAUCUAGAGUGUGCGAGAGGGAUGCGGAAUGCGUGGUGUAGCGGUGAAAUGCAUAGAUAUCACGCAGAACCCCGAUUGCGAAGGCAGCAUACCGGUGCACAACUGACGCUCAGGCACGAAAGCGUGGGUAUCGAACAGGAUUAGAUACCCCUGUAGUC